CACGUAGGGUGCGAGCGUUGUCCGGAAUUAUUGGGCGUAAAGAGCUCGUAGGCGGUGUGUCGCGUCGGCCGUGAAAACCUGCAGCUUAACUGUGGGCUUGCGGUCGAUACGGGCAUCACUGGAGUUCGGCAGGGGAGACUGGAAUUCCUGGUGUAGCGGUGAAAUGCGCAGAUAUCAGGAGGAACACCGGUGGCGAAGGCGGGUCUCUGGGCCGAUACUGACGCUGAGGAGCGAAAGCCAGGGGAGCAAACGGGG
rnacentral:rRNA from 1 species